rnacentral:lncRNA from 1 species
CACGAUAAAGAUAAGCAAAGCUAAAGCAAAGCACAAAUCCAACUCCUAAACUCUCUCCCCCUUUAGCACAAGACACCAAAAAGGGGGCACACCUAACGACACAGGUGGUCACUCCGCAUCCUCAUCAUCCCAAACGCGUCCGUGGCAUCCGGAUCCUGCUCGUCCUGCUCCUCCUCAAUGUCCUCCUCAGAAGCCUCCUCCUCAGCAUCAGACCCAGUCCAUUGGUAACCUUGAGCCCUCAUCCAG